rnacentral:rRNA from 1 species
AGUAAAAAGUCGUAACAAGGUUUCCGUAGGUGAACCUGCGGAAGGAUCAUUAAUGAAUUGUAAAUGGGGGCUGAUGCUGGCAGUUGAUUCUUCAGCUGUAUUGUGCACGCUUCUAACAAUCUUUAUCCAAACACUUGUGCACAUUUGAAAGAAGGGGGGAAAUCUUCCCCCUUCUUAUUUACAUACACCGCUUCUAUAAUGUCGAAUGUGAUCUUGUGCCUUUUCCUUUAAGGAGGGCCUGACUUAAUGUUAAUACAACUUUUAACAACGGAUCUCUUGGCUCUCGCAUCGAUGAAGAACGCAGCGAAAUGCGAUAAGUAAUGUGAAUUGCAGAAUUCAGUGAAUCAUCGAAUCUUUGAACGCACCUUGCGCUCCCCGGUAUUCCAGGGAGCACACCUGUUCGAGUGUCGUGAAAUUCUCAAGCUUAUAGAUUGUUUUUCAUCUUAGGCUUGGUUGUUGGGCUUUGCCGUGCCCCUCUUUAUUGAGGGAACGGCUGGCCUUAAAAGCAUUAGCUGACUCUCGUGUAGGAUUGGUUCUACUCAGCGUGAUAAUAAUUCUGACCGCCGAGGACAUCUUUCGGGAUGGCCAAUUCUUGCUUGGGUUGCUUCAAACUCUGGUUUACAGAUCUCUAUAUCUGUUCCACUAUCAAGUUUGACCUCGAAUCAGGUGGGACUACCCGCUGAACUUAAGCAUAUCAAUAAGCGGAGGAAAAGAAACUAACAAGGAUUCCCCUAGUAACGG